GACUCUUAAUCAGCGGGUCCGGGGUUCGAAACCCUGACGGCGCAC
rnacentral:tRNA from 1 species